rnacentral:rRNA from 1 species
UAUCUCUGUAGAGUCUGCAUAUCAAUAAGCGGAGGAAAAGAAACUAACUAGGAUUCCCUCAGUAACGGCGAGUGAAGCGGGAAGAGCUCAAAUUUGAAAUCUUCAAGGUUCUACCUUGACGAAUUGUAGUUUAAAGAAGUGUUUUCUGUUGGAGUUUUGGUAAAAGUUCUUUGGAAUAGGACAUCAUAGAGGGUGAGAAUCCCGUAUUUGACCAUUAUUUCCAGCUUUGUGAUACACUUUCAAAGAGUCGGAUUGUUUGGGAAUGCAGUCCAAAAUGGGUGGUAAAUUUCAUCUAAAGCUAAAUACUGGCGAGAGACCGAUAGCGAACAAGUACCGUGAGGGAAGAUGAAAAGAACUUUGAAAAGAGAGUUAAACAGUACGUGAAAUUGUCAAAAGGGAAGCGUUUGACACCAGUGUUGUUUUCUCGAAAAUCAAUUAAAAAAGGCAGGAUUUUGUGUUGUAUUGACUUUAUCAGCUUUCUGCACUCUUUUCUUGUCUUUUUUAAUGCACUUUUCGUUUAACAAGUCAACAUCAAUUUCUUUUGUUGUAAAAGAGUCAUUGGAAGGUGGCUUUCACUUUCGGAUGAAAGUGUUUAUAGCCUUUAGCCUCUGCAAUCGGAGAGAUUGAGGUCUGCAGCGUAGAUCCUUCGGGGUUAGAUACAUUUGUGCUAAGUUAUAGCCUUUCAUAGACAACUUGUUGACUAUGAUCAGUCAUGUAGCUUACUCGCUUAUGCUAUUUUACCUACGCUUAGGAUGUUGACGAUCAGCUGAGCGCG